rnacentral:rRNA from 1 species
CUCGAGUGCCAGGUUACAAAUCUGGCUGUCGUGAUGCCUAAAAAGCAUUGCAUAGCAAGGGCCGGACAAGACCGGUGCCAGCCGCCGCGGUAACACCGGCGGCUCGAGUGGUAACCGUUAUUAUUGGGUCUAAAGGGUCUGUAGCCGGCCGGGUAAGUCUCUUGGGAAAUCUGGCAGCUUAACUGUCAGGCUUUCAGGAGAUACUGCCUGGCUCGAGGCCGGGAGAGGUGAGAGGUACUUCAGGGGUAGGGGUGAAAUCUUGUAAUCCUUGAAGGACCACCAGUGGCGAAGGCGUCUCACCAGAACGGACCUGACGGCAAGGGACGAAAGCUAGGGGCACGAACCGGAUUAGAUACCCGGGUAGUCCUAGCCGUAAACGAUACUCGCUAGGUGUCGGCCACGGUGCGACCGUGGUCGGUGCCGUAGGGAAGCCGUGAAGCGAGCCACCUGGGAAGUACGGCCGCAAGGCUGAAACUUAAAGGAAUUGGCGGGGGAGCAC